AACGAACGCUGGCGGCAGGCCUAACACAUGCAAGUCGAAAGCCCCGCCAGGGGAGUGGCGCACGGGUGAGUAACGCGUGGGAAUAUGCCCUUCGGUCCGGAAUAACACAGGGAAACUUGUGCUAAUACCGGAUACGAUCUACGCAUGAAAGAUUUAUCGCCGAGGGAGUAGCCCGCGUAGGAUUAGCCAGUUGGUGAGGUAAUGGCUCACCAAGGCGACGAUCCUUAGCUGGUCUGAGAGGAUGAUCAGACACACUGGGACUGAGACACGGCCCAGACUCGUACGGGAGGCAGCAGUGGGGAAUAUUGGACAAUGGGCGAAAGCCUGAUCCAGCCAGGCCGGGUGAGUGAUGAAGGCCUUAGGGUUGUAAAGCUCUUUCGCCAGGGAAGGUAAUGACGGUACCUGGAAAAGAAGCCUCGGCUAACUCCGUGCCAGCAGCCGCCGUAAAAC
rnacentral:rRNA from 1 species